UCUCAUCUUCUCCAAUCAAAUACCAUUGGUGUUUCCGAGCAAUAUUGUCGUCCUCUUCGUUGCCGUCUUUUGCGUCUCGCCACCGUCUCCUGAAAUCUCGUCGGCGUCAUCUUCUGCGGUCUUGGCGCCAUUUCCUGAGGUCUCUUCACCGUCUUCUUUUGCAGUCUCGGUGUCGUCGCCUUCAUCGUUGAGAUCUUGGCGCCGUCUUCGUCGUCUUCAAACAGGUACCCUCCUAAUCGCCGAAUCCGGUCCAUUCUGUUAGGUUUAGUUUUUUUCCCCUAAUUGCUCGACAAAGUGAAAAUGGAAAUGAAAGGUGCGAACUGGAGAAGACGACGAUACCCUCUCUCGAUCGCACCAACUCGUCUUCUUCCAACAACUUCAACAAAUCUGUCACCAAAUGCAACUCUCCUCCUCCUCUUCCUCCCGCCUUGUGCAGUGGAACACAUGAAAGGAGGAAUAACCAUAACAAAGUGGUGACCAAUCCACAACAAAACGACUCUAAUAUCCGGGGAGGAAGUGAUGAAGUUGAAGCUUUGGAUAUCCUUGAAGCCAAGCAUUCGACAGUUGCUUGAAGAAAGGUAGAAAAAUUUACCGUUAUGCGACAAUCAUCUCAUGUUUCUGAAGUUGUAUCCAUGUUGGUAAUAUUGUAAUUAGCACAUUUUGUAGGAUUGUAUACUCUGCAUGAGGCAUAUAUGGAGGUGGUGUAACAAAGUUUGUUGUUCUUAAUCAUUUAGAGUAAAUUGCAUAAACUCUAAAUUCUACUUGGUUCUUGUUUGUCAUGUUUUGCUGUGUUUUCAGAAGCAGCAUUGCAUGUCUAAAAGACUAGAAACCAAAAAUAGAAAAUUUUCACUUAUUUGCAUCAUCUUUCUUUGUUUCUUCAUAGGAUAUUUGAUGUAAUGCCAGUGUAAAUGUUGCAUUAAGGUGUAGUGUUUGAUACUUAUUUAGAUAUUUAAUUAUUUAUACUAGUUUUGCUAUAGAUGUAUAUUAUG